AUACUUACCUGGCAGGGGAGAUACCAUGAUUACGAAGGUGGUUUUCCCAGGAUAAGGCUCACCCAUUGCACUCCGGGUGUGCUGACCCCUGCGAUGUCCCCAAAUGUGUGAAACUGGACUGCAUAAUUUGUGGUAGAGGGGGACUGCGUUUGUGUUAUCCCCUG
ensembl:snRNA U1 U1 spliceosomal RNA